AUUGAACGCUGGCGGCAGGCCUAACACAUGCAAGUCGAGCGGAGCGGCGGACGGGUGAGUAAUGCCUAGGAAUCUGCAAGGUAGUGGGGGAUAACGUCCGGAAAUGGGCGCUAAUACCGCAUACUAUCAGAUGAGCCUAGGUCGGAUUAGCUAGUUGGGUGGGUAAAGGCCUACCAAGGCGAGGAUCCGUAACUGGUCUGAGAGGAUGAACAGCCACACGGGAACUGAGACACGGUCCAGACUCCUACGGGAGGCAGCAGUGGGGAAUAUUGCACAAGGGGCGAAAGCCUGAUGCAGCCAUGCGGCGGGUAUGAAGAAGGCCUUCGGGUUGUAAAGUACUUUCAGCGGGGAGGCGUUACCCGCAGAAGAAGCACCGGCUAACUCCGUGCCAGCAGCCGCGGUAAUAC
rnacentral:rRNA from 1 species